GGCCAUUUGGGCCACACAAGUUA
rnacentral:siRNA from 1 species